AAGCUCGUAGUUGAAUUUCGGGAUUAGUACGUCGGUCGUGCCUUAGGUACGUACUGGUGUUACUGGUUCCUACCUUCUGACGAACCAUCAUGUCAUUAAUUUGGUGUGGUGGGGAAUCAGGACUGUUACUUUGAAAAAAUUAGAGUGUUUAAAGCAGGCUCGCGCUUGAAUACGUUAGCAUGGAAUAAUGAAAUAGGACGUUGAUCCUAUUUUGUUGGUUUCUAGGAUUGACGUAAUGAUUAAUAGGGAUAGUUGGG
rnacentral:rRNA from 1 species